ACGGGUGUGCGUGUUGGCAGCGGGGCGCUUCGUGGAGAGGCGCCGUGUCCUCUGCCCCAAGGGAUGUCGGUUCAAAGGCAGGUGCAUCAUCUGUGGUAGAAAAGUAGAUUUUUCAAAGCGAAGGCAUGCGGUUGGGAGACAGACCCACAGUUGGGAUCCAGGAGUUGGGAGGAAAAAAUGACCGGAGAGGGGCCCGAGCAGCUCGGUUAACACAACACUGGAAGGAUAAGCAGAAAGUCCAGUACAGAGUGUCCCGCAGGCAUUAGUGACUGUCUGCCCGACAAGCAUCAUCCCAUCCCCCCUUGCUGGCAAAACUCAGUCCGUCCCGGUUCCACGUGAGCCAGGAAAAUUCCGAUUAGUUAGGCCCACCGCAGUGCUCUGUUUCCCAGUGAGACGGAGUCAUUUGUGGGUGGUCACGGGACCUGCGGCCAAGUAGAAUCUUCCUAUUUAGGAAUCCCUAGGAAUCCGUAGGUCCUUCCUCCCACGGUUUUGAGUUAUUUACCUGGGCGGCCAUGUGACCUGUGUUAGGAAGGGCUGCUUGAAGGUUUCUGGGAAAGGUGUGCAGGCUCUCAAAGAUGCCUGGGGAGAAACAGCCUCCCUGCUCUGGGUGGACGUGGGCAUGUGUGAUUUUGCUCUUGCCGCACACAUACACGCACACAGACUGACAUUCACACACUGACAUACACACAAAACCUUGAUGAGCAUCAAGUCUGAACAUGGAAAGCAGCCAUGCCCUUGCUGAUGUAUGAGCUGAUGAUUAAUCAGCUGUUUAGAUUCCAUAUACCGGGACUCUUUAUUAAGGGAUGUGGUGAAGUUAUGUGAGAUAAAACAGUUUUCUUACCAAUUACUUCAUCUUGACUUGGGUUUUCUGAAACUUAAAGCCAAAGUUAUCUCAAUUUUUACAGAAUGGCAUCAUAGACACCCAGCUGAAAAAUUGUGUAAAGGAGAGGAAAACAGGUCAACCGAAGGCUGAUCGGCGACUUCGCCAUGAUCGGUUUCAGUGUCACUCCUAUGAAUGCAAGAUAAAUUGUGGUAGAUUUAGGGGUGAAUGGAAAGUGAAAAGGUAAAAUGUGGAUAUUUAGACUCAUGUUAUUCCUUACAGAAGUUUGGUUGUGAAUGAAAAGAUACUGGGUAAAAACUAGAGGAAGGUUAUAGUCAAGAUAUUUUGUUUUCGAGUCCAGAUUAUUUUUCUGUUAUUUUUAUUGUUGUUGUAGGUUGUUGAUGGGAUAUCUAAGUAUGUCUACUUGUUGAGGAGAAAGAUCACUAAGAGUAGGAAUACUCGAUGGGGAUAGAAUCAAUGGGCUAGAAAAGUGGGAAGGAAUGUCUCCAAAAGGAGAGGAGGGGCUGAUCUGCCCUCAUAAAUCUGCACAUUUGGAUUAUGUCCGUUCAUCACAGAGUUGUCCUGUAACAACUCAAACUCUCCUCAUUAGAACACUAUUUUUUCCUCAGAGGAUUAGGGCUUUUGCCCCGUUUAACUGUCUACCCCAGUCAGCACCACUCUGGCCGUUGGUGGACACCUGAGGAGGCCCUGGAAGCAUCUCAUGAUAAUAUUCGGGAGCGGCAGUGACUGACGAACACGGACGGAGACACUCAAGGCGUUAACCACGAGGGAUGAGGUGACCCCUUCCUCUGGAGAAGGAGCAGCCUUGCUUCUGCCCGUAAGAGCCGCGGAUGCAGCAAGCUUGGACCCCCUCCUGCAGCAUGAGCCCCUGUGUUUGCAGUCAUCACCUGUGGGGUGUGAAGGUCCUGGGGAGUCAGUGCAAAUGAACAUGAAGCUCCGGCUGCUGCUUUUCUCAUGACUCCGCUGUCCUUUGUCUCUGGCUGCGCAGCCUCGUGCCUUCUGCCUGCGUUCAUGAAGCAAUCUAGCUUGCUGGUGUGCAGGUCGGGUGAAAUUGGAGACCCUGCACAGUUCUUGACAGUUUGGGGGAUGAGGAUGGGAUGCUAACUGAGACAUGGCUUCUGGAAGAGAGAAAACGAGGCCAGGCAAGAGGACUUAAGACCCCUCAGGAUCCUGUGACAAAGGCCCUUGUUGUACCAGCAGCGGGUGAGAAGGGGAAGCGGGGCACUGCCCUCUCCUGUCUGUUCAGAAAUGUGUAGAGGCUGAGCAGCGAGAGACAGGAUUGAAACCAGCCUUUCAAAUGGCACCUUGGUGGUCACUCCCUCCCUCCCGAGUGAAAGAACGGGAUGCUGUCACUACCAAGGGCAGGCCCCCGAUUCUAACUGAAAGGUGAUGUGGUUUUGAUUGCAGAGUCAGGGGUCUCCAGCGCUGAAUUAAAUGAUGUCCACAAGGGGAUGGAAGGUUUUGGAGGGAAAAGUUUGUUUAUUGACCUGAACAGGCAGCCUCUGGAAACCAAAAGUAAAUGCAAAACCUUCCUUCCUGUUCCUUGCUUCCUACACUGUUCCCUGAGGCCCUCAUGCCUCCCUCCCUCUCUCCUGCUUCAGCUGCUUUAGGAACAAAGCCAAAUGAGUUAGCCCCUGAGGCACAGGUGUUAAAUCCUUGUUCCGUGUUAGCAUUUUGGGGGUGGUUGUGGGGAGCAGCAUCUGAAUUCAACUGAUAGGUCUCAGAAAAUUCACAAAGAAAAUGGUAAGAACCAGCUCACUUAUGAACUAGGUGACUAGGGGCGCCUGGGUGGCUCAGUCAGUUGAGCAUCCGACUCUUAAUCUCAGCUUGGUUCUCGAUCUCGGGGUCAUGGGUUCAGGCCCCACGUUGGGCUCCAUGCUGGGUGUGGAGUCUACUUAAAAAAAAAAAAAGGUUGCUAGAAGAGUACUGUUGUACAGGAACAAUUUUACUUCUACCCUUCUAGCUUCUGUGGCUGGUCAAAUAGUUACAAUAGCAUAAGACAGGUUAACAAGAGAAAACCAAAUUUAAUUAUGUAUGGGAGCCCCAUAAAGAUAUGAAGUCUCACAAGGCAGCUCUGAAGCUUAUAUAACAUCCUGAGUGAUAGUGAGGGUUGGGGGCCUGGGGAGACAAAGGGAAGGAAGGCUGUUCACAAGAAGGCAGAGGAGGUGUUUGGAGAAUAAAGGUUUUCCUGUUAUCUACACAGUUUCUUAGGUCAACUGGCUAUCUCUGGUUAAAAGCUCUCUUCCUGGUACCAGACCCUCUUUCCCAUGUAAAUUUAGGCAGUUGAGAGAAAGGUGAAGAGCUUCUCCUGAAUCUGCUGGGUUUUGAUCGCCUUUAGCUCAAAAUAAUCCUCGUGCCAAUGUGGCAUAUAUUGGGGAGACUCGUCCUGAAACCCUUAGUUCUGUACUUAUUAAAGUAAUUAAAUUUGUAGUUAAAGUUCUUCAAACAAAGAAAACUCCAGACCCAGAAAGUCUCACUGGUGAAUUCCACUAAACAUUCAAAGAAGAAAUAACAAAAAUUUUACAGAGUUUCUUCUUUAAUAAAUAAGUUUAGGGGACGCUUCCCAAUUCAUUUUAUGAAGCCAGUGUUACUCAAAAACCCAAACCAAAGACAUGACAAGAAAAUAAAAUCAGACCAAUAUCCUUCAUGAACAUAAACACAAAUAUCCUAAAAAAUAUUAGCAAAUUGAGCUAGAAAUAUGUAAAAAUAGCAAAACAUGGGGUUUAUUCUGGAAAUGAAAGGCUGGUUGUCAUGAGCGAGCCAUAAAGUCACACGCACGAGUUGUGUCUUUCCACAAUGUCAGCUUUAUUCAAUCAUAAAGCAAAGUUAAAUCACAAUUACAGAGCAGGUUCAGGAUUCCAAACUCAGUGACAUUUCACCAUGUGAUUAAACUUGGCUUCUUACACAGCACACAAAGCAGGACAUGAGACAAGCCACACAACAAACAAGACAACAGAAGGGUGCAGGAAGUUACCGAACCAAACGCCAAGUCAGUCUGUGGGCGUGCAGUUGAGAUGAAGCCUCGGUCUGGCCGGGUCAGCUCUCGGCACUUACUGCUGCUUAUGUUCAAGCAGUGACGGGUCUCAGUUCUGUUUGGAGAUCCAUCGGGCAGAGCCUUUGGCCGCAGCUGCCUGUUUUAAGUGGUCAGACAGAGAUGGGUCAGGUCUGAAGAGUCUGACAGUUUGCUGCCCAAGUCCUUCCCUUUUUAAAGGGAUUUAGUGGGCUUUGGGGUCCCUACAGACCUCUUCUGGUUCUGAUCAUUAUCAGUUCUGGGUGUCCGCUGAUGCCGGUCCCGUUGAUAUCUCUUAGCUGCGGUACCUUAACUGCUCGAGUCAUUGCUUGACACGGGUACCUGCUUGACAUGAGAGACUCCAUUUUGCUCUCUGCACUGGUUCAAUGUUCAGAACUUAAUUAAUGUAAUGAACCGUAUUAGUAGGUUAAAGAAGAAAAAGCACAUGCUUGUUUUACUAGAUGCAGAAAAAAAUUGAUAUAAUUCAAUAUGAAUUGGUUCAAUAAAAGAAGGUUUCCUCAAUCUGGUAAAAUAGAUCUACAAAACAUCUACUGCUCACAUUAUAUUUAUUGGUGAAAGGCUGAAUGCUUUCUUCCUAAAAUCAGGAGCAGGACAGAGAUGUCCCCUAUUACCACUUAUAUCAGUCAUUCUACAUGGUCCAAUAGGGGAAGAAAAAGAAAAGACAUACAGCUUGCAAAUAAAAAAUAAAACUGUCUAUUCACAGACAGUAUGAUAGUCUAAGUAGAAAAUCCAAAAGAAUCAAUAAAAAGGUUUCUAGAACAGAUAUGUGAGAUUAGCAAAUCAAUUUAUUCCAAAAUCAAUUGCAUGUCAGUAUGCUAGCAAUGAAUAUUGGAAAUUGAAAUUUAAAAAUAGACCAUUUUCAGUAGCAUGGAAAACUUGAAAUAAUUAUGUAUCAAUCUCACAGAGUACGUGUAUGAUCUGUAUGUCAAAACCACACAAAACACUUAGGAAAGGAGCCCAGAUUAAAGGGAACCCUAGCAAGCACAGAGGUAUGCUCUGUUCACAAACUGCAAGACUCAAUAAGGUGGUAAUUCAUGUGGGAAACAAAAGCAAAGGAAAAAACCUCGAUUACCUUUCUGGCUACAGCCUAUUGACAAGUCCUUGAGUCAGGCAGAGUGACCUUCCUCUAUGAACUCAGCUGCCUCGAUGUUAAUGCUUUGCUAAGGGCAAAAGGUAGUCUUAGCCUGACCCCCUGGGAUCCUGAAAUUCAACAUAUAAAAAUUACUUUGGAAACUUCUUUAUAUCUACCCUCCAAGAUAUAUGUUGGCAAUCAUCCCCCAAGCAUACGACCCACCGAUAUACAUCUACAAGGUCUCAUGACUAGGGUUUUACUAGACAGUAAUAAAUGACCUUUUCCUAACAACAGCUAGCCCCUCAAGGUCCUGGAAACCUUACUUCCAAAUUCCUUAGAGGCUUACGCUCUCCCCAACCCCCUCCCAACUUGAAAGUAUAUAAAUAGUCACCUAUCACAACCCCAGAGCAGCUCUUUCUGCCCACGGGUCUUAUGCCCAUGCUUUAAUAAAACUACUUUUUUUGCACUGAAGACGUCUCAAGAAUUCUUUCUGGACUGUUCACUCUGAACCCCAACAUUUCUACACAUCAGUAAUGUCAAUUCUUCCCAAACAAAUGUAUACAUUUUAUAUAAUUGGUGUCAAAAUCACACAAGAUUUUUCAUAAGAAUUGACAAACUAUUUCUAAAGUUUCAGGGGCCAUUAGAGGGCAUGGAAUAGCUGAAAACAUUUUGAAAAGAGAAAAAAGUUGGGGGCUUACACCACCUGACUCAAGGCUUACUAUAAAGUGAUGAUAGACACGUCAGUAGGGUAUUAGCAAAAGGAUAGACAUGUGAAUUAAUAGAACUGAGAAGAGAGUCCAGAAACAGACCCACUAAGCAUUGUCAAAGGGUUUUUUACAAAGCUGCAAAGGUAAUCCAAUUGAGGAAAAACAGUCUUUGCCAUAAAUGGUGCUGGGGACAUCCCCAUGCAGAAAUAUUGGCCCUCAGACCAUCCCUUGCCAUGUAAACAGGUGUUAACUCAAAAUGGAUUAUAGACCUAAAUGUAUUAAAUUUCUAGAAGCAAACAUAGGAGAAUGCCUUUUUGACCUUGAAGUCAGCAAAGACUUCAUAGACAUAACACUAAAAGCACUAUCCUUAAAUGAAAAAAUAGAAUUGAAAUUAGGAAUUUCUGAGUUGAAAGACAGCUAAGAAAAUGAAAAUACAAGCCAUAUACUAAAAGAAAAUAUUAGCAAAACAUAUGUUUAAUAAAUAAUUAGCCUUAGGAAUAUAGCAAACUCUCCAAAUGGUGAAAAAGCAGAAGCAUUAAAAAACUGGACAAAAAUUUGAACAGAUACUUCACCAAAUAGGAUAUAUACACGUGAAAAGAUGCUCAGCACCUUUAACCACGAGCGACAUUCAAAUUAAACCACCGUGAGACACCACUACAUAUCUGUUAGAAUGGACAGCAACAACAGAACCCUGAGCACGUACGUGUUGGUGAAAAUGCAGAGUUACUGGUAGGAAUGCAAAUGGUAUGGUCACAUUGGAAAGGAAAUGUGUAAAUGGGUUUAUUUGUAACUUUCCCGAACCAGAAAAACAGGAACAUUCCUACCAUUGUCACACGUUUACCUGCUCCCUGCUCUCAACCUGUAUUUUACUGGGAAUCUUGUAGUGGCCCCUAAUGGCCAAUGAGGAUUUUGAAUAUUACAAAUCGAGGUUUUCAAAUUGUGAGGAUUAACGAUCAUGCACAUGUUGGCACAUUUUUCUUUUACGUCUACGCACUUUCUCAUUUUUUAAAAAAAUCAGAGUCUACAUUUACUGUGGGGCCCCAGUCCCUUCAUUUCAUC